UAAGCUGAGGAAAAAGGAAACCAACUGGGAUUACCUUAGUAACGGCGAGUGAAGCGGUAAAAGCUCAAAUUUGAAAUCUGGUACUUUCAGUGCCCGAGUUGUAAUUUGUAGAAUUUGUCUUUGAUUAGGUCCUUGUCUAUGUUCCUUGGAACAGGACGUCAUAGAGGGUGAGAAUCCCGUUUGGCGAGGAUACCUUUUCUCUGUAAGACUUUUUCGAAGAGUCGAGUUGUUUGGGAAUGCAGCUCAAAGUGGGUGGUAAAUUCCAUCUAAAGCUAAAUAUUGGCGAGAGACCGAUAGCGAACAAGUACAGUGAUGGAAAGAUGAAAAGAACUUUGAAAAGAGAGUGAAAAAGUACGUGAAAUUGUUGAAAGGGAAGGGCAUUUGAUCAGACAUGGUGUUUUUUGCAUGCACUCGCCUCUCGUGGGCUUGGGCCUCUCAAAAAUUUCACUGGGCCAACAUCAAUUCUGGCAGCAGGAUAAAUCAUUAAGAAUGUAGCUACUUCGGUAGUGUUAUAGCUUUUUGGAAUACUGUUAGCCGGGAUUGAGGACUGCGCUUCGGCAAGGAUGUUGGCAUAAUGGUUAAAAUGCCGCCCGUCUUGA
rnacentral:rRNA from 1 species